UUCAGUGGUUUCAAUAUGAUAUUAUUAUCUCAAAUAUCUCUAAAACUUAGCAACGUUAUUCCGAAACAUGGAUAAUAGAGGGCCUCUUUAAUGGUUAAGACAGUACCAUUGGACAACAUGAUACGAGCCUUUUCCGUAUCCUUGAAUCAGGUUGGAUGAGCCUGAAAGAGUUGUCAAAUGUGCUUUCUUAGGUACAAAGUUAGUAAAAUAGUGUUGCUUACGCAAUAUGGUGUGUGUGGUAGUACUAUCAGCUAGACAACUAACUUCCCCACUAGAUAUAUACCUAGAAAUAAAUUGAUUGAAUUGGUCACAUGCAUAAAUAUAAAUCCAUUCAUUCAAUUAAUCAAUUCGAGAAAUAAUAUCCAUAAAAUAACAAUCCAUAAUUCAAACUAAACCUAAACCAAACAAAUUAUUCCAAAUACUUAGAAAAAUUGUACAAAAUUAAACCAUAAACCUAGAAAAAUAAGGGGUCCGGCCACUCCUAAUGGGUUUGGCCACUAAGGGUGAAACACCCUAAAAAUAUGUCUAAAAUUUAUUCGUCCAUAGGAGCUGAUGCCUCUUGAAAAUCUGAUAUCUCCAUGGAUGUAGUAGCAUCUUCUUGAUGUUCCACAUGCGCAAAGUUAGACUCACGACGAGAAUGAUACUUGGCAAUGGCCUCGGGGGUAGCUUGGCAUAUGCAUGAUCAAUGAUCCUUUGAUCCACAGUGG
rnacentral:lncRNA from 1 species